rnacentral:tRNA from 1 species
GCCGCCUUAGCUCAGUUGGUUAGAGCGCUUGAUUGUGGAUCAAGAGGCCCCUGGUUCAAUUCCAGGAGGUGGUACCA